CAGGAGCAGCCCUACAGCCAUCACUUACAUGUACUUUGGGUCCUGCUGAGAUCCACUAACAUUUGCUCAUCACCAGCAGGGCAGCUGACUAGAUGAGAGCUGCUGGGGUGUCUCUUCACAGUUAUCUCCAGGGGAUCAAAGACCACGAGGCCAGAAUAGCAGCUAGACCGGAACUGAGCCACUGGGGUUUUGGCCCCAAACAGAAGCUCAUGAGACAAAACUGCGCUGUUUAUUUGAAGGGAUGCAAUUCCAGUGACAGAACUUCUUCAGGUGGAUGCUUCUGACCAAUCUGCUGAAAGGGGAAGAAUGGACUCAUCUUCUGGAAAAUGUAACCUUUACCUCCUGCAGCACCAAGAACCUGUGGCCCACAAGAUCCUGUUUCGUUUUUUUUUUUGGUGUUUCUGACUUUGAGGAAGCUCCAAGACUGGGCUUGAAGGUCCCAAAGGCUGUUCCAGCCACCUAAAUAAAAGCACAUUUAUUACCUGUGCAUCAGAACUCUCUGAGUGGAUAACAAAAAGUUGAGUUUAUCAGGCUCUCUUUUCCUACACCAAACUCUUCCAAAGGCAGUGAUGCCUCUGAAACUGUGUAUUGUUUACUUCAGCUCAAAAUGUGAUCUGUGUUUUUCUAAAGAUUCAGCAUGUUUUUCAACUAAGCAGUCAAUCUGCCCAUUGUAGACUGUGGCUGUGGGUGGUGGGGAAGACACAGAGCCACGUUCACAUUUCAAAACACUUCCAUUGCAGACCCAGCCA